rnacentral:lncRNA from 1 species
GGGGUUCAUUUAAAUUCAAAUUAUCAAAACCAAGAUCAUCAUCAAAAUCAUUUUUCUUUAAAUUAGAAAUUUCAUUAAAAACUACAUGAAUAGACUCUUCUAUUACUAAGGUUCUUUUGUUAAAAAUCCGAAAAGCCUUAGAAACGGAAGAGUAACCAAGAAAGAUGCCUUCAUCGGAUUUAGCAUCAAAUUUUCCUAAGGCAUCCCUUU